UCCUACGGGCGGCUGCAGUAGGGAAUCUUCCGCAAUGGACGAAAGUCUGACGGAGCAACGCCGCGUGAGUGAUGAAGGUUUUCGGAUCGUAAAACUCUGUUGUUAGGGAAGAACAAGUGCCGUUCGAAAGGGCGGCACCUUGACGGUACCUAACGAGAAAGCCACGGCUAACUACGUGCCAGCAGCCGCGGUAAUACGUAGGUGGCAAGCGUUGUCCGGAAUUAUUGGGCGUAAAGCGCGCGCAGGCGGUCUCUUAAGUCUGAUGUGAAAGCCCCCGGCUCAACCGGGGAGGGUCAUUGGAAACUGGGAGACUUGAGUACAGAAGAGGAGAGUGGAAUUCCACGUGUAGCGGUGAAAUGCGUAGAGAUGUGGAGGAACACCAGUGGCGAAGGCGACUCUCUGGUCUGUAACUGACGCUGAGGCGCGAAAGCGUGGGGAGCAAACAGGAUUAGAUACCCCGGUAGUC
rnacentral:rRNA from 1 species